CAAGCUUAAGAUCUUCUGGAUCGUAGGCGUAGCGAAAGCAAGUCCGAAUAGGGCGACCCUAGUUGCAGGCGGUAGACCCGAAACGGAGGUGACCUACCCAUGGCCAGGUUGAAGCUUAGGUGAUACUAAGUGGAGGACCGAACCGGUGUGUGUUGAAAAACGCUCGGAUGAGCUGUGGGUCGGAGUGAAAGGCUAAUCAAACCCCGUGAUAGCUGGUUCUCCUCGAAAUGCAUUUAGGUGCAGCGUUGCGUGUUGAUGAGUGGGGGUAGAGCACUGACAGGGCUAGGGGGCAUACCCGCCUACCAACCCCUAUCAAACUCCGAAUACCAUUCAAUAGAGCGCAGCAGUGAGACGGCGGGGGAUAAGCUUCGUCGUCGAGAGGGAAACAGCCCAGAUCAGCAGCUAAGGUGCCUAAAUUGUGCUCAGUGGAAAGGAGGUGAGGUUUCAUAGACAGUGAGGAUGUUGGCUUAGAAGCAGCCACCAUUUAAAAAAUGCGUAAUAGCUUACUCAUCGAGAGACCUUGCGCCGAAAAUACUUGGCGAUAAGCACAAUACCGAAGCUCUGGGUGUCCUAGUUUACUAGGGCGCGGUAGAGGAGCAUUCUCUGUGCAGUGAAGGGUGAUGGCGACUGACCCUGGAGCGCAGAGAAGUGAGAAUGCAGACAUGAGUAACGAUAAGAGCAGUGAAAUCCUGCUCCGCCGUAAAUCCAAGGUUUCCCGGGCAACGUUUUUCGUCCCGGGGUUAGUCGGGACCUAACCCGAGGCCGAUGGGCGUAGGGGAUGGUAAGCAGGUUAAUAUUCCUGCACCCAGUAAGGAGGACGCAUAAUGAAAAGCUACUAUCUUAAUGAAUUGGGAGGCGAGGCUCAGGCCGGACCGCAUAGCUGGACAGAGUGCCAAGAAAAGCCCUUACAUUAAUGGCCCGUACCGUAAACCGACACAGGUGGAUGGGUAGAAUAUACCAAGGCGCAAGAGUGAAACCUGGUCAAGGAACUCGGCAAAAUAGCCCCGUAACUUCGGAAGAAGGGGUGCCCCCUCUGGGGGGCCGCAGUGAAAUGGCCCAACCGACUGUUUAGCAAAAACACAGCAUUGUGCUAAGGCGUAAGCCGACGUAUACGAUGUGACACGUGACCAAUGCCAAAAGAUUACGGUAAGAUGUUAGCACUUUAGUGCGAAGCUUCGAGCCCAAGUCCUGGUGAAUGUCGGCCGUAACUAUAACGGUCCUAAGGUAGCGAAAUUCCUUGUCGGGUAAGUUCCGACCUGCACGAAUCGUGCAACGAGUUGGGCGCUGUCUCGACCAGGUGCUCAGUGAAAUUGUAGUUCCGGUGAAGAUGCCGGACACCCGCAGAAGGACGGAAAGACCCUAUAGACCUUAACUGUAAGCUGUUAUUGGUUGUUCGAUCUUAAUGCUCAGCAUAAGUGGGAGACAUUGAAGGGUGCGUUUAGGCGCAUCUGGAGUCAUCAGUGAGAUACCACCCUUUAAUAUUGGAUAAUCUAACCCCGAGCCGUCAUCCGGCCGUGGGGACAAUGGCAGCCGGUCAGUUUUACUGGGGCGGUAUCCUCCUAAAGAGUAACGGAGGAGCGCGAAGGUGGGCUCAGCACAGUUGGCAACUGUGUGUUGAGUGUAAAGGCACAAGCCCGCCUAACUGUGAGACCUACAAGUCGAGCAGAUACGAAAGUAGGCCUUAGUGAUCCGGCGGUAGAAUGUGGAAUUGCCGUCGCUCAACGGAUAAAAGGUACCUUAGGGAUAACAGGCUUAUCACGCCCAAGAGUUCAUAUCGACGGCGUGGUUUGGCACCUCGAUGUCGGCUCGUCGCAUCCUGGGGCUGGAGAAGGUCCCAAGGGUCCGGCUGUUCGCCGGUUAAAGCGGCACGCGAGCUGGGUUCAGAACGUCGCGAGACAGUUCGGUCCUCUAUCCUCUGUGGGCGUAGGAAAAUUGAAGGGUUCAGACCUUAGUACGAGAGGACCGGGUUUGACGCACCUCUGGUGUUCCAGUUGUUCUGUCAAGGGCACUGCUGGGUAGCUAAGUGCGGAACGGAUAAGCGCUGAAAGCAUCUAAGCGCCAAGCCAUUCCUGAGAUAAAUUUUCCCUGAAGGAUCGUGGAAGACGACCACGUUGAUAGGCUGGGGGUAGAAGUGCAGCAAUGUAUGUAGCUCACCAGUACUAAUCAUCCGUUCGACUUAAUUCC
rnacentral:rRNA from 1 species